rnacentral:lncRNA from 1 species
GACUCCCUUCCGACUCCGCGCCUGCGCAGGAAGCGAUUUGGGGAGUGUUGUGAAUUCCGAGGGCUCCACACUUAAGAGGUUGUACACUCACCUGUCUACCUGGACUCCAAUUUCCAUAUUUCCAGCCACUUGAGGACUGAGAGGUGGAUGAUAAACCCUGUCAUAGUGGAGCAAGUUCAGGUGUUUAACCGCUGUUAUGGGGGAUCUGCCUUUUCUCCCUCUUCUUUCUUACUUCCAUAAGUAUGUAUGUGCAGAGAUUGAAAAAUAACCUUGAGAGAGUCCAUCCAUCUAACUCCAGUUCAUUGGAAAUUUCUGCUUCUUUGAGACUGAGGUUAUAUUCCACUUCUUCUGACUACACCACCACCAUCAAUCUCCUUCUCUGAACUCUUGGAUCAUUACUUCAACCUGAAACAACUCAUCAGGCAGAAUAGUUGCCUACUGCCCCAACCCCACCAAAUGUUCCAGCACCUCUGAUAUUACCUCACAUGGCAAGAGGGCUUUGAAGAUGUGAUUGAGUCAAGGAUCUUGAAUGGGGAGAUUAUCCUGAAUUAUUCAGCUGGACCCAGUGUAAUCACAAAGGUUUUUCAAAGAUGGAAGAGAGGCAGAAGAGCCAGAAAAGGAUAUGUGACAAUGGAGUCAGUGUCAGAGUUGGAGUGACGUGAUGUGAGAAGGAUUCAACCUGCUGUUUCUGGCUUUGAGGAUGAAAGAAGGGGCCAUGAGCCAAGCAAUACAGGUGGCUUCUUUCAAGAAGUUGGAAAAGUGGUAAUAUUUUAUGUUAUUUUGGUUUGAUUUUUGUUUGUGGCAUAUGGCUCUGCUGUCCUGUGACUCUAAGUAGAAGAGAAAAUAGUGCCAAUAAUUCUUCAUGGAGAUGCACCUCUCUCAAGUCUUGAACAAUGUUUGAGGUAGGUGGUGGCCUAAAUGAAUGAGCAUGUCAUGUGUGAUUACUUAGUGAGUGUAGUUUUGUAAGGCGCACCAAGGAACUGGUAAUUAACUGCUAGGCAUGAGAUUACCCCAAGAUUCUACAAACCCACCUAAGCGUUGUUAUAUUUGUGAAAAGAUUAGAGGAGCUGAACUGUGUAUCUUCUUGGUCUCCAGUGGGCAGAUACAAGGGGAUUGCAGCAAAGAUUGGGGAAGUGGCCUCCAAGUAUGCAUGUGGAUGUCCUCUGCUCCUCUGAAACAUGACGGAUGGCCAUUGUCUUUGUUAGAACAAAUAAAAAGCAGAAGUAUAUUUGCCUUUUAGAGAGAGCUCGGUGUUCCUUUUUGCCAAACACAGUACUCUCUCACACCUGCCUUCUGGGGCAGGGAUAUUUUAUUGGACCACAGAUAUUCUGAGGGGAAAGGAGUUAAAAGUCAGAGCUUGACAAAUGCCAGCUCCGGUGCUAAUCAGCAUUUGUCAAAUGCUCUGAUUCUAGGCUUUGAAAAGUCUUGAGUUAUUAAUGAAGUACCCACUAUUCACUGAACACUGUGUAAAGUCCCCAAAAUGGAAAGAAUAAUACUUGCUCGUGUCCUUUUGAAGUUCAUGUUUAUAUUGUCUGUUUCCAGGAAAAGUGCUUUCAGCUGGGCUGAUGAGAACACCUUGGCACUCUUUCCUGCAAUGGGCACUGAUUGAGGGUCUUCCUGGUGUGGCAUCAUCAAAUCCCUGUUGCUCAAACCCACUAAUUAGCUCAUUCUUAUCUACAAGUAGCAGGGGCCCUAAAGCUCUCUGAGAAGAUCUCAUACUGUGUCUCCUACAUUUCAUCUUCUAUAAUCUCUUAUUCUUAGAGACAGAAAGAUGGUUAAAAGACAUCACUUCAUUUCUUUCUCUGGAUUUGGAAAGAGUUAUAUAUUGGGAUUAUGCUGUUAGUUUACACUUGCAUUGUUUAAAUUAGAGGAAAGGUUAUUUUGUGCAGAACAAAUAAAAAUUACUCUUUAACUACCUUUCAGAAUAUCCCAACUUUUAACAUAAGCUGUUUUGUAAAGGCUGGUUGUAGUGACUUGCUUCAUAAUAGACUAUUAAAAUAAGAUGCAUUGAAAUCUUGUUCUUUUCUUUGCAAUACCAUGUAUCAGCUUUGUUUUGAGAGGCAAACUCAAUUUUCCCCUGAAAUUAGGAAAUUACUGUAAGGGACUGGAAUGACACACAAGAAAAGAUUACAUCAUAGCAGGGAGACUAGCCAGUUAGAAUGGGGAUUUCUUUACAAACACUAGACUGGACUAUGGAUUAUAAUUUACCUAGUGUUAAUAGUUGCAGUCAUACAUUAAGGACAAUAUGUAUGUUCUUUAGUUUUUUGUCACUGAGCAGAGGUAGAAACAGGGAAACAACAAAGGCCGAAUAAUUUCCAGCCAUUGCUGCUUUGUUUGCACGGAGCCCUUUGAAAUGUGAACUAAGAAUAUUUCUCAGAAGGUUUUUAGGUGAUUCAUAUACACAGUAAAGUUUCAGAAGUGCUAUAUUCGAGGGCAUAUGGAAACCCAUGGCUUUUCUGCUAGAGGAUUGUCAAAAGUCCAGAAUUUCAUAACUAAAUACCAUGAAUUUAGUAUAGUAGAGCACAGAACUAAAGGCUGUCUUGUGGCUGCAAAGAGUUGACUUCACAUAGCAUAAACUAUAGUCUAAGACAGUGACUUAGACAUAAGAGAGAAUAGAACUUGGUAACUGGGAUUGUUUUACAGCGUGAUCAUGUAUAUUUCUAUAUUAUUCUAAAAAUAUUUAUUAUAUUUAUAUAAAAAUUGUUACAACCGUGUACAAGUGUGCAUAAAUAAAUAGUGUAUUUAUGUAGUCUUUAUUUGAAUGUCAGGCCAGUUAGAGAAGCUAGACAUGUAUAACCAGUUUAGUCUUAACAAUCAAGUUCAGAAAAUAAUAUGUAGACUUCCACCUAGUUCCUUUUCUGAAUAAUAUUAUAGACUUAAGGAAGCUAAUAAGAGUCCAAGAUUCUCUGAGUGCCUUUGUGAAUUAUUUCAUCUGAUUCAUGUAUGUACCUUCAUAUAAUGGCUUUUAAUAUUGAGGAAUAUUUGGAGAUUAAAAGAUUAGAGUAAUUCUGAGCUCAUUAAAUUGUAGAUUGUCAUUUCUUAUGAGGAUUUACUUUUCUGGUACAACAUGUUCUUAUCACUAGUUAUAAUGUAUUUUUUUACUUUUGGCUUAGAUUUUGAGCCCUCUAUUCAUGACAUAUCAAAUGUAGUUCUUUAGAUAUGCUGCUUUCUAAUUAGGAAGCAGAAUGUGAUUGCCUACUAUUCUCUAGCCACGUACCUACUAGUGAAUAUAUAAAGGAUGGAAUUCAGGCCGUGGUUUAUGAAAUUCAGGCUGUGUUUUUGAGUACUUCCAAGUAUGUUUCAAGUAACUUGGUUAUGGUUUUGAAUGACUAGGAAAAUGCUUUGCUUUUUUUGAAAGGGAAAUUGUUCAAAAAUGAGAUUCAAUGGAAAACACAGAGGGUGCUAAAAAUGCAGAGACAUUGUAUAAACCUAUAAGAAAUUUUACAUGGAACCAGAAUUUUGAUGCCCCUUAAAAGGAAACCAAUGAGAUUCCUUAUUCAUUAGUACUUUGAAAGUUGGCAGUGGAAUGAGGAUCUGUGGAGGAAGGGACAGCUGGAUCUUGCACUCAGGACUUCUGCCCUCUGCUCCUCAAAGAACUCAUUAGUCACUGUUCCCACUCCCACCCUGGCACCAAGGAAAAUGUGGAUGUUUCCACCUUUCCCACCCAGGCCUAUUUAGGGCAUACAACCCUUCCUGAAUUUCCUGCAGUACAGUUGAGAUCACACUGUAGCCUCUAACAAGCAUUUACCAGAGAUUCAGCGAUGACAACAGAGAACUACAAUAUAAUGAGUAACAGAUAACCACUCCAUAGAUGUUGCAUGCAUUUCCGAGUGUAUACAGCCCAUUCUCACCUUACAGGAGAACCAGGAAAAGAGAACAAUUUGGGAAGGUCUCUUCAUUUAAUUUUUCCCACACUGCUGCCUCUUCUAUCUUUGGCUUGUUUCUUCUUCUCACUUAGGAGGAAGUGGUUCUCAGAUAAUUGACUAAUCACUUCUUCAUGGUCGUGAACUCAAGGACUUACCUGUUAUGAGGGGAGAAGCAUAAUAAAGAUUACAUCAUGUGAACUUUUGAAAUAAAAUGCCCGAAGACAUAAGAGAGACCCUUACCACUGUCACACUCAAAAGGAAAGCUUAGUAGCUACAGAGAUUUAAAAAGCAAGCAAACAAGCAACCAAGCAAACAACAAAGACCUGAAGAAAAUUCCAGAAUAAUCCUCAACCUGUGCUUUCACAUGCUAAAUUUUCAUAAUGAGAAAGAUAAACUGUGUAUCUUGUGGUGUCAGUGG